rnacentral:rRNA from 1 species
GACGAACGCUGGCGGCGCGCUUAACACAUGCAAGUCGAACGGAAAGGCCUGCUUUCCCUUGUGGAUUGCGGGUACUCGAGUGGCGAACGGGUGAGUAACACGUGAGUGAUCUGCCCCCAACUUGGGUAUAAGCCUGGGAAACUGGGUCUAAUUCCCGAUAGGACUGCAGGGUGGUGCCUGUGGUGGAAAACGAUUUUCUAGUGGUUGGGAUGAGCUCGCGGCCUAUCAGCUUGUUGGUGGGGUAAUGGCCUACCAAGGCGGCGACGGGUAGCCGGCCUGAGAGGGUGGACGGCCACAUUGGGACUGAGAUACGGCCCAGACUCCUACGGGAGGCAGCAGUGGGGAAUAUUGCACAAUGGGCGGAAGCCUGAUGCAGCGACGCCGCGUGGGGGAUGACGGCCUUCGGGUUGUAAACUCCUUUCGACCGCGAGGAAGCCACCUGGUUGGAAGGGUGGUGACGGUAGUGGUAGAAGAAGCACCGGCUAACUACGUG